rnacentral:tRNA from 3 species
GCCGAAGUGGUGGAACUGGCAGACGCGCUGGACUCAAAAUCCAGUGGUAGCAAUACCGUGCGGGUUCGAUUCCCGCCUUCGGCACCA